CGUCUAUUAAUUAGGUGGCGGCGCCUGGGGUCGCAGCACUCCAGAGGCUGAGAGUCUCGCCCUUUUGCCUAGUGGAGGAGCUCGGCUCACUGCAAGCUCCGCGCCACAACCCCCCUGCCGCCCCAGGUUCAAGAGAUUCUCCUGCCUCAGUCUCCCGAGUAGACUGGGAUUACAGGCGAGUGCCACCAUGCCCGGCUAAUUUUUGUAUUUUUGGUAGAGACGGGGUUUCAUUAUGUUGGCCAGGCUGAUCUCGAACUCCUGACCUCAAGUGAUCCGCCUGCCUUGGCCUCCCAAAGUGCUGGGAUUACAGGCGUGAGCCACAACGUUGGGCCAGCUCCAGGUUCAAGCUCAAAGGCCUAAAGUUUUGCAAACAUCUGGUGAAGAGGAAGAUUUUUGAGACUCUCCCAGCCUAUUACAUAAAGGAAACAUAACCGAGAAUUUUGUCUAAAGGUUUUCAUUUGAAACAAAGCAAGAGCUUCUUUUCCCCACUCCGAAUUAAAACACAGCGCAACAGGGGCCACAUUUAUUUGGCAGGACAGUACCAAUAUGUGAACAUCCUCCUCCUCACUGCCGUUGGGGUGACUUGACUCAUAAGCAGCUGUUCUUACACAAAAUAUUAACCCGAACUGCUAGUGUCACACAGAAGGAAGUGGUCUUGAUUGUGUAUGUGGGCCAGCAUGUUCUACAAAUGCUGAAAGGUGGGAGAAGCACAAAUACAACCCACUCUUUAAAAAAACUAAAUAAUUCAAAGUAAAAUUUUCUAUCCCCGCCCCCUCCCCACCCUUGCCUUCUCCAAUAAUAAAAAGUAGAAUCC
rnacentral:lncRNA from 1 species